rnacentral:rRNA from 1 species
GUUGCUGGCCCUCUCGGGGGGCAUGUGCACACCCGCCAUCUCCAUCUCUCCACCUGUGCACCUCUUGUAGACCUGGAAUACACUUUCCGAGGCAACUCGGUCGGGAGGAAUGCUGUAGCUUUCUUUGGACUUCCAAGCCUACGUUUUUCAUAUACCCGUAGUAUGUAACAGAAUGUAUCAUUUGGGCCUCAGUGCCUAUAAACCAUAUACAACUUUCAGCAACGGAUCUCUUGGCUCUCGCAUCGAUGAAGAACGCAGCGAAAUGCGAUAAGUAAUGUGAAUUGCAGAAAUUCAGUGAAUCAUCGAAUCUUUGAACGCACCCUUGCGCUCCUUGGUAUUCCGAGGAGCAUGCCUGUUUGAGUGUCAUUUAAUUCUCAACCUUAUUAGCUUUUGCUGAUAAUGGCUUGGAUGUGGGGGGUUAUAUUUUGCUGGCUUCUUUCGCAGAGGUCAGCUCCCCUGAAAUGCAUUAGCUGGUGCCCCGCGUGGACUGUCUAUUUGGUGUGAUAAUUAUCUACGCCGUGGAUGUCUGCAAUUGGUUUUGGCACUGC